rnacentral:rRNA from 1 species
CCUACGGGAGGCAGCAGUAAGGAAUAUUGGUCAAUGGAGGCAACUCUGAACCAGCCAUGCCGCGUGCAGGAUGACGGCCCUAUGGGUUGUAAACUGCUUUUAUACAAGAGAAAACCCUGGUACGUGUACCAGGUUGAUAGUAUUGUAAGAAUAAGCAUCGGCUAACUUCGUGCCAGCAGCCGCGGUAAGACGAAGGAUGCAAGCGUUAUCCGGAUUCAUUGGGUUUAAAGGGUGCGUAGGCGGACUGAUAAGUCAGUGGUGAAAUCUCUUUGCUUAACAAAGAAACUGCCAUUGAUACUGUCGGUCUAGAGUAUAGAUGACGUUGGCGGAAUAUGACAUGUAGUGGUGAAAUACUUAGAUAUGUCAUAGAACACCGAUUGCGAAGGCAGCUAACGAAACUAUAACUGACGCUGAGGCACGAAAGUGCGGGGAUCAAACAGGAUUAGAUACCCUGGUAGUCCGCACCGUAACGAUGAUUACUCGUUGUUGCGAUAUGACAGUCAGCGACCAAGCGAAAGCGAUAAGAAUCCACCUGGGGAGUAGCCGNGAACGUUGAAACUCAAAG